UGGGGAAUAUUGCACAAUGGGCGAAAGCCUGAUGCAGCGACGCCGCGUGAGGGAUGACGGCCUUCGGGUUGUAAACCUCUUUCAGCAGGGACGAAGCGCAAGUGACGGUACCUGCAGAAGAAGCACCGGCUAACUACGUGCCAGCAGCCGCGGUAAUACGUAGGGUGCAAGCGUGGUCCGGAAUUACUGGGCGUAAAGAUUUGGUAGGCGGUUAGUCGCGUCGUGUGUGAAAACCAGCAGCUCAACUGCUGGCUUGCAGGCGAUACGGGCAGACUUGAGUACUGCAGGGGAGACUGGAAUUCCUGGUGUAGCGGUGAAAUGAGCAGAUAUCAGGAGGAACACCGGUGGCGAAGGCGGGUCUCUGGGCAGUAACUGACGCUGAGGAACGAAAGCGUGGGUAGCGAACAGG
rnacentral:rRNA from 1 species